rnacentral:rRNA from 1 species
AUUGAACGCUGGCGGAAUGCUUUACACAUGCAAGUCGAACGGCAGCACGGGGGCAACCCUGGUGGCGAGUGGCGAACGGGUGAGUAAUACAUCGGAACGUGCCCGGUCGUGGGGGAUAACGUAGCGAAAGUUACGCUAAUACCGCAUACGAUCUGAGGAUGAAAGCGGGGGACCUUCGGGCCUCGCGCGAUCGGAGCGGCCGAUGUCAGAUUAGGUAGUUGGUGGGGUAAAGGCCUACCAAGCCGACGAUCUGUAGCUGGUCUGAGAGGACGACCAGCCACGCUGGGACUGAGACACGGCCCAGACUCCUACGGGAGGCAGCAGUGGGGAAUUUUGGACAAUGGGCGCAAGCCUGAUCCAGCCAUUCCGCGUGCAGGACGAAGGCCUUCGGGUUGUAAACUGCUUUUGUAUGGAACGAAAAGGCUCUGGCUAAUACCUGGGGCUCAUGACGGUACCGUAAGAAUAAGCACCGGUUAACUACGUG